rnacentral:rRNA from 1 species
AUUGAACGCUGGCGGCAGGCCUAACACAUGCCAGUCGAGUGAGCGGCGUACUGGUGAUUAAUGUAUGGGGACUGCCCGAUAGAGGGGGAUCACUACUGGAACCGGUGGCUAAUACCGCAUACUAUCGUAUCACCCAUAUGGGAUUAGCUAGUAGGUGGGGUAAAGGCUCACCUAGGCGACGAUCUCUAGCUGGUCUGAGAGGAUGAUCAGCCACACUGGGACUGAGACACGUCACAGACUCCUACGGAGGCAGCAGUGGGGAAUAUUGCACAAUGGGCGCAAGCCUGAUGCAGCCAUGCCGCGUGUAUGAAGAAGGCCUUAGGGUUGUAAAGUACUUUCAGCGGGGAGGCGUUACCCGCAGAAGAAGCACCGGCUAACUCAGUGCCAGCCGCCGCGGUAAUUC